rnacentral:rRNA from 1 species
CCUACGGGAGGCAGCAGUGGGGAAUAUUGCACAAUGGGGGAGACCCUGAUGCAGCGACGCCGCGUGAGUGAAGAAGUCCUUCGUUAUGUAAAACUCUAUCUACAGGGAAGAAAAUUACGGUACCUGAGUACUAAUCCCCGGCUAACUACGUGCCAGCAGCCGCGGUAAUACGUAGGGAGCAAGCGUUAUCCGGAUUUACUGGGUGUAAAGGGAGCGUAGACGGCAGUGUAAGUCUGGAGUGAAAGGCGGAGGCUCAACCCUAGGACUGCUAUGGAAACUGUAAGGCUGGAGUGCAGGAGAGGUAAGUGGAAUUCCUAGUGUAGCGGUGAAAUGCGUAGAUAUUAGGAGGAACACCAGUGGCGAAGGCGGCUUACUGGACUGUAACUGACGUUGAGGCUCGAAAGCGUGGGGAGCAAACAGGAUUAGAUACCCUUGUAGUC